AACCAGUGCAUGACAAAUAAAGAGGAAUAAUAAUUGAAAAUUUCUCAACCAAUGUCUGAACUCUUUGAUUACAGUUUGCUCUCACCAAUGAAUCAUAAACGUAAAGUUGCCGGUCCUUUAUAUCAAAAACUAGCAACAACCAAUGAAAGUUCUCCCCAAGGUUAACAGGCAUGAGCACAUAGUCAACAAGAUCCCAGGAAACAUUAGCAAGAAUUCUGU
rnacentral:lncRNA from 1 species